rnacentral:misc_RNA from 1 species
GCAAACUUGGUCAUUUAGAGGAAGUAAAAGUCGUAACAAGGUAUCCGUAGGUGAACCUGCGGAUGGAUCAUUCAAGUAUAUGUAUUGACUCACAUGUUAUGUGUGGUCAAUUACUUUCUUGUGCAAUGUUUUGUAUAUGGAAUGUGAUUUUAUAUUGACAUGAAAUAUGUGUCGAUAAUCACAUACUAUUUUUUUUAUCAUACAUUUCUAUCAUAUUUUUCUUAUGAAAUAUACAAAAAUAUUAAAUUGCAAAACUGCCAGCAAUGGAUCCCUCGGUUCUCGCAUCGAUGAAGAACGCAGC